rnacentral:rRNA from 1 species
UACAGAGGGGGCAAGCGUUGUUCGGAAUUACUGGGCGUAAAGGGCGCGUAGGCGGCCUUCUAAGUCGAACGUGAAAUCCCCGGGCUCAACCCGGGAACUGCGUCCGAUACUGGAAGGCUUGAAUCCGGGAGAGGGAUGCGGAAUUCCAGGUGUAGCGGUGAAAUGCGUAGAUAUCGGGAGGAACACCAGCGGCGAAGGCGGCUUUCUGGACCAAUACUGACGCUGAGACGCGAAAGCGUGGGGAGCAAACAGG